AGCUUUGCGCAGAGGCGAUAUCGUAGCCAGCGAGGUUAAUACGAGGCGCGAUUAUUGCUAGUUGAAAACUAUUCCCAUAUAUGGUUGUCAAUUGUAAUGUCUCACCCUUGUACAUGAUACUUCUCCCAAUAACAAUUG